rnacentral:rRNA from 1 species
GCUUGCACCUUUCAAGUGAGUGGCGAACGGGUGAGUAACACGUGGACAACCUGCCUCAAGGCUGGGGAUAACAUUUGGAAACAGAUGCUAAUACCGAAUAAAACUUAGUGUCGCAUGACAAAAAGUUAAAAGGCGCUUCGGCGUCACCUAGAGAUGGAUCCGCGGUGCAUUAGUUAGUUGGUGGGGUAAAGGCCUACCAAGACAAUGAUGCAUAGCCGAGUUGAGAGACUGAUCGGCCACAUUGGGACUGAGACACGGCCCAAACUCCUACGGGAGGCUGCAGUAGGGAAUCUUCCACAAUGGGCGAAAGCCUGAUGGAGCAACGCCGCGUGUGUGAUGAAGGCUUUCGGGUCGUAAAGCACUGUUGUAUGGGAAGAACAGCUAGAAUAGGAAAUGAUUUUAGUUUGACGGUACCAUACCAGAAAGGGACGGCUAAAUACGUGCCAGCAGCCGCGGUAAUACGUAUGUCCCGAGCGUUAUCCGGAUUUAUUGGGCGUAAAGCGAGCGCAGACGGUUUAUUAAGUCUGAUGUGAAAGCCCGGAGCUCAACUCCGGAAUGGCAUUGGAAACUGGUUAACUUGAGUGCAGUAGAGGUAAGUGGAACUCCAUGUGUAGCGGUGGAAUGCGUAGAUAUAUGGAAGAACACCAGUGGCGAAGGCGGCUUACUGGACUGCAACUGACGUUGAGGCUCGAAAGUGUGGGUAGCAAACAGGAUUAGAUACCCUGGUAGUCCACACCGUAAACGAUGAACACUAGGUGUUAGGAGGUUUCCGCCUCUUAGUGCCGAAGCUAACGCAUUAAGUGUUCCGCCUGGGGGAGUACGACCGCAAGGUUGAAACUCAAAGGAAUUGACGGGGACCCGCACAAGCGGUGGAGCAUGUGGUUUAAUUCGAAGCAACGCGAAGAACCUUACCAGGUCUUGACAUCCUUUGAAGCUUUUAGAAGAUAGAAGUGUUCUCUUCGGAGACAAAGUGACAGGUGGUGCAUGGUCGUCGUCAGCUCGGGUCCGGGAAAUGUUUGGGUUAAUUCCCCCAACGAGGCCAACCCUUUAUUGUUAGUUGCCACCAUUCAAAUGGGCACUCUUCCGGAACUGCCGGGGAC